rnacentral:rRNA from 1 species
UACGUAGGCAGCAAGCGUUGUUCGGAGUUACUGGGCGUAAAGGGUGUGUAGGCGGCCUGCUAAGUCGAACGUGAAAUCCCUGGGCUCAACCCAGGAACUGCGUCCGAUACUGGUUGGCUUGAAUCCGGGAGAGGGAUGCGGAAUUCCAGGUGUAGCGGUGAAAUGCGUAGAUAUCUGGAGGAACACCGGUGGCGAAGGCGGCAUCCUGGACCGGCAUUGACGCUGAGGCGCGAAAGCCAGGGGAGCAAACGGG